rnacentral:rRNA from 1 species
CCUACGGGUGGCAGCAGUGAGGAAUAUUGGUCAAUGGACGAGAGUCUGAACCAGCCAAGUAGCGUGAAGGAUGACUGCCCUAUGGGUUGUAAACUUCUUUUAUAUGGGAAUAAAACGUUCCACGUGUGGGAUUUUGUAUAUACCAUAUGAAUAAGGAUCGGCUAACUCCGUGCCAGCAGCCGCGGUAAUACGGAGGAUCCGAGCGUUAUCCGGAUUUAUUGGGUUUAAAGGGAGCGUAGGUGGAUUGUUAAGUCAGUUGUGAAAGUUUGCGGCUCAACCGUAAAAUUGCAGUUGAAACUGGCAGUCUUGAGUACAGUAGAGGUGGGCGGAAUUCGUGGUGUAGCGGUGAAAUGCUUAGAUAUCACGAAGAACUCCGAUUGCGAAGGCAGUUCACUGGACUGCAACUGACACUGAGGCUCGAAAGUGUGGGUAUCAAACAGGAUUAGAUACCCUUGUAGUC